GUCAGCAGGUUGUUGUGUUGUACAGUACUGGAGGUCUCUAUCUGUAGUCAGCAGGUUGUUGUGUUGUACAGUACUGGAGGUCUCUAUCUGCAGUCAGCAGGUUGUUGUUGUACAGUACUGGAGGUCUCUAUCUGUAGUCAGCAGGUUGUUGUGUUGUACAGUACUGGAGGUCUCUAUCUGUAGUCAGCAGGUUGUUGUGUUGUACAGUACUGGAGGUCUCUAUCUGUAGUCAGCAGGUUGUUGUUGUACAGUACUGGAGGUCUCUAUCUGUAGUCAGCAGGUUGUUGUGUUGUACAUUACUGGAGGUCUAUAUCUGUAGUCAGCAGGUUGUUGUGUUGUACAUUACUGGAGGUCUCUAUCUGUAGUCAGCAGGUUGUUGUGUUGUACAGUACUGGAGGUCUCUAUCUGUAGUCAGCAGGUUGUUGUGUUGUACAGUACUGGAGGUCUCUAUCUGUAGUCAGCAGGUUGUUGUUGUACAGUACUGGAGGUCUCUAUCUGUAGUCAGCAGGUUGUUGUUGUACAGUACUGGAGGUCUCUAUCUGUAGUCAGCAGGUUGUUGUGUUGUACAGUACUGGAGGUCUCUAUCUGUAGUCAGCAGGUUGUUGUGUUGUACAGUACUGGAGGUCUCUAUCUGUAGUCUGCAGGUUGUUGUGUUGUACAGUACUGGAGGUCUCUAUCUGUAGUCAGCAGGUUGUUGUUGUACAGUACUGGAGGUCUCUAUCUGUAGUCAGCAGGUUGUUGUACAGUACUGGAGGUCUCUAUCUGUAGUCAGCAGGUUGUUGUGUUGUACAGUACUGGAGGUCUCUAUCUGUAGUCAGCAGGUUGUUGUGUUGUACAGUACUGGAGGUCUCUAUCUGCAGUCAGCAGGUUGUUGUUGUACAGUACUGGAGGUCUCUAUCUGUAGUCAGCAGGUUGUUGUUGUACAGUACUGGAGGUCUCUAUCUGUAGUCAGCAGGUUGUUGUGUUGUACAUUACUGGAGGUCUAUAUCUGUAGUCAGCAGGUUGUUGUGUUGUACAGUACUGGAGGUCUCUAUCUGUAGUCAGCAGGUUGUUGUGUUGUACAGUACUGGAGGUCUCUAUCUGUAGUCAGCAGGUUGUUGUUGUACAGUACUGGAGGUCUCUAUCUGUAGUCAGCAGGUUGUUGUUGUACAGUACUGGAGGUCUCUAUCUGUAGUCAGCAGGUUGUUGUGUUAUACAUUACUGGAGGUCUCUAUCUGUAGUCAGCAGGUUGUUGUUGUACAGUGCUGGAGGUCUCUAUCUGUAGUCAGCAGGUUGUUGUGUUGUACAGUACUGGAGGUCUCUAUCUGUAGUCAGCAGGUUGUUGUGUUGUACAGUACUGGAGGUCUCUAUCUGUAGUCAGCAGGUUGUUGUGUUGUACAGUACUGGAGGUCUCUAUCUGUAGUCAGCAGGUUGUUGUGUUGUACAGUACUGGAGGUCUCUAUCUGUAGUCAGCAGGUUGUUGUGUUGUACAGUACUGGAGGUCUCUAUCUGUAGUCAGCAGGUUGUUGUUGUACAGUACUGGAGGUCUCUAUCUGUAGUCAGCAGGUUGUUGUUGUACAGUACUGGAGGUCUCUAUCUGUAGUCAGCAGGUUGUUGUGUUGUACAGUACUGGAGGUCUCUAUCUGUAGUCAGCAGGUUGUUCUGUUUUAUUACUGGAGGUCUCUAUCUGUAGUCAGCAGGUUGUUGUGUUGUACAGUACUGGAGGUCUCUAUCUGUAGUCAGCAGGUUGUUGUGUUGUACAGUACUGGAGGUCUCUAUCUGUAGUCAGCCGGUUGUUGUGUUGUACAGUACUAGAGGUCUCUAUCUGUAGUCAGCAGGUUGUUGUGUUGUGCAGUACUGGAGGUCUCUAUCUGUAGUCAGCAGGUUGUUGUGUUGUACAGUACUGGAGGUCUCUAUCUGUAGUCAGCCGGUUGUUGUGUUAUACAUUACUGGAGGUCUCUAUCUGUAGUCAGCAGGUUGUUGUGUUGUACAGUACUGGAGGUCUCUAUCUGUAGUCAGCAGGUUGUUGUGUUGUACAGUACUGGAGGUCUCUAUCUGUAGUCAGCAGGUUGUUGUGUUGUACAGUACUGGAGGUCUCUAUCUGUAGUCAGCAGGUUGUUGUUGUACAGUACUGGAGGUCUCUAUCUGUAGUCAGCAGGUUGUUGUGUUGUACAGUACUGGAGGUCUCUAUCUGUAGUCAGCAGGUUGUUCUGUUU